UUUGAUAUCAGAUAUAUAUUGCUGAUCACUCAUCAUUUAUUUAUCUGUUACUUCAAUGAAUGCCUGUGUGUUUAAUAAUUUAAAUUGCAAAUUAUUAGAUUUCUUCAUCGCUUUGCCUUUGUCAUGUAUUUUCGCGACGUAAGUCGUAACGUUCGUUUGUCGCCAUAGAUCAAUCUCUUAGUUAAACUGCUUAAUUCAACUUGAUUCUGCCUAAAAUUCAAUACAAACUAUUUAUAGCAGACAGGCGCAUGUCUGAAAAAAUGGAACACUAAAUUAGUAAUCAUGCUAAUGCAUGAGAAUCUUACUUAUCUCAUACAUUGAUAAUAUUAUUAUUAAUUUAAACGUAUAAUAUAAUUUUUUUUUGUAUAUGUCUUUCAUUACUUGCACGCAAGCCAAGGUUGUCUGCCUGUGGACAAAUUUUAAUGAUUAUUUAAACACAUAUUUGCAGAAUAUUUAAAAAGUCUGUGUAUUAAGAAAUAAUUAAAUUCGUAAUGUUUAUUGUACACAUUUAUUUCAGAAAAUAAAAUAUUCACCACCACCUGGUUUGCCAACAUCGUCUUUACAAGGAAUGUCCAGCAGUGCAUGACAGAGGCCGGUCACUCCCAUUAAGUCCAGCUGAAGAGCCUUCCCAGUUCAUAGGACAAAUCGCAGUUACACAGAUUUUAACGGUGUUGGAAACAAUGAGAGACGAGAACAGGGAAAUGAAGUGGAUGCUGCAGCGGCUCUUGGCUAGGUCAGCUUCUGAUGACGAGCCAAUGCAACUGCCAGAGAACAUCAGUCUACCAAUUGGAACACUUGAGCAAAUAGAUGAGUUUGAAGAGCAUCUUGGUGAUGAAGCUACGAUCCAUCUUUUCUAGGACUGCUGCAUAGUUCAAGCUUUUUAUCAAAUAUAUUAAGCAAUGUUGUAAAUGUAUUUGACAGUUCUUUCUCCAUUGAUCCUAAACCAUUCCUUUAAGGCUCAUCUUCUAAGAAAGCAUACAAUCUUUUUUAUCUGGAAAUGAAAUGGUAUAUAUUCCUUUGCAAAAGAAGAAACAGCAUUCCAGUUUUUGAAGGUUUUAAAAGACAUAUAUAUAUAUAUAUAUAUCAUGUGCAAUUAUGAAAUACACUAGAAUGUAUGAAGAUAUCAAAGAUAAUAAUAUGGACUUGUUCUCGAACAAGGAUUUGCCAUUUAUUUGAGUUUUUGAUUUUUUUGCAGGGUUUUUAAUUUCUAGUUUUUAUUUAAUGCUUUCCGGUGGUUUAUAGAGAAAUAUCAGUGAAUUAAAACUGGUUCAAACAGUGAAAAUUAUCAGUGAGAAUUAUCGAUAAUUUUCAUUGUUUACUGUGAAAUGAUGUCAUUUUUUGACGAAAUGACGUCAUUAUCCCAGCAAAAUUCUUUAGUUAAACUCUUUAACAAUGUAUAUAAACGGUGAAAAAUGCAUUAAAUAAAAAGAAAAUUUGUUGGAUUUGGUGGAUUAUCGAUUUUAAUUAACUCGUGUUCAUAGAGAAUAUAUAUUUUCUAUGAUCACUCGUGAAUUAAAAUCGAUAAUCCACCGGAUCCAACAAAUAUCCUAUAUAUAAAAUAUUUUGUUUAGUCUUGCAAGUAUGUUUUCUACAAAUGUUCUUUGAGUACAUGGUGUAUUAUUUAUAUUGGUUAAAGAUUUUAUAUGCUUUUGAGUAAUGUGUAGUACAUCAGGAAAAUACUUGAAGGUAUUCUGUAUAUGUAAUAUAUAUUUAUUAUCGAAAUAAUAGAAGUCCUUAAUUCUAUAGUUGUAUAACUGGUCAACAUAUAUAAUGUUAUAGAAAAACGUCUUAUUGUUUGAAGUUAUGUCUUUAUUGUUCCAUGAAAUAGUUUUACUGUUGGUUUGGGUUUAUAGAUUAUGAGUUUCAUUACUCCAUGCGGAUAGAACAUUAGAUAGAAACAUGUGUUUGUAAGCAACUUCAUGUAAAAGCGGAUAGAACAUUAGAUAGGAACAUGUUUUCGUAAGCAACUUCAUGUAAAAUAUUUUUGCUGAUGUUACAUUCAAAAAGUUAGGAAUCACCAUAUUAUUUUAGAAUUCUCUGGUAGAAUAGUUAACUUGGGAUCCUCCUGCUAUGUAUGUAUGUAUCCAUGUAUAUGUGUGUAAUACUUUAUGUGAAUAAAAGUUGAGAGUA